UGGAAAGACACCAAAAUCACAUUUCUUCCAGUUUGGACAAAGAGGCUGACUCGCUGAAGAAAAUACAAGACUGCUUUACUACACUGGUAGUUGCUCAUGUAAUUACAAUGAUAGAGCACAGACUACAGAGGGUGCCUGAAGCCUUUGCCUUUCCAUAAGCAGAUGAUGCUGUAAACCUCCCAGCUCAGUGGAGCAGUGGCAGAAGGAUACAGGGCUGAAAACAAAGACAUCCAAACCUUGAGCCAUUUAGAAGAGGAAGAAGCCAAAAUCUCUGCCAGAGGUUUGACUGCUGGGUUUACUCAUGGCUUCAGCUCAGCACUAACCACAGGUUUAGUUGUGAAGCAGCUCAGCCUCUGCAGGCAGCUAGGAAGCAAGGUAGACUCAGAAAAGAAGUGGAUGCUCCAUCUGAUGACCUAGCCUACUCAAUGGAGACAGUUCCUGCAGGAGAAAACAGAGCAAAACAAAACAAAAGAAAAGAAAGAAUAAAACAAAACAAAACCAAAACCUGGGAAAUGCUUCUCCAUCUAAUCCCAACUAUCUUGUCCUGCUGCUAAGAGGAACCAUGUGGCUGUUACAGAGACGUGCAGGAGAACGGUGUU
rnacentral:lncRNA from 1 species